CCAGCAAAGCCAAGCCCACAGUCCAGGACUGGCCUCUGAGGAUCCUCAGCCCAGCCCGGCAGGGUCCGCGCACCUACCUUGACCUCGCCCCCGUCGGGCUCCGCUUCCGAGAAGCCCAGUCCCGACUCGAAGGCGGCGGCGGUGGCGGGCGCCUCGCGGGGACCCGGGAUCAGCGCAGCGGCGAGCAGGGAACACGCCAGAGCCAAGAAGCCCAGCAAGUGCAUGGUGGAAGGACCGGGAGCAGGGAGGCCGGUCCGCUGGCAGGCGCAGGCUGGGGCGCGAGGCUGAGGUCCUGUCCUCGUCCCAGUCCCGCGGUUUCCUUCGGGGGACCCCCCUGGGCGAGCGGAUCCCGGGGACUCCGCAGCUCCCAACUUUUGCCCUCCGAUAUGGCAGCCCGCGCCUGGGAGAGGCGCCGGGUGUCAGAAAUUAACCAUGAUAAGAGAAAUCAAGAAAGAAAGAAUCACAGAGGUCAAUGAAGAGGCAGUAGAGAAUUGGAAAGAAACAGGUGCAAUGUGACUACCAAUGGAUUGCAUCUGCUCUCACUCUAAACCGAAAAUGGCCCUACUUCCUUUAAGUGGAAAAUAUGUCUGCUGUAUUCAGGCUCAACAAUGAGGAAAGUGACCCAUAUACACUGAAGAAGAAAGCAACAAGAGGAAACAGGGAAUCAGAAGAAGUGUUUGAGCCUGGGACCAGGAUACAGAAAAACUUCAAGAUGUGCCGUGAAAGUGCUGGGAAAACUUACAAAGACAAAAAUAAAGUUCCCUGUGAAAGAAGUAAUCAGGAUCUCAUUUCCUCUUUUGAGGAAAUACCAACAGAGAUUAGUAGGCAACAAAGGUUGCAAGUUUCUCAUGGAGGGGGUUGUGUCAUCCUGUAAGAGGAGGAAUUGACACUUAACCAGACACGAUGCCAGGAUCCAGCUUGCUGUGGAGAAGGACUCAAUAGGAAAGCCAAACUCCUCUGUUUAAUCCAUGAUCUACUUGCCCAAUCUGAAGACCUAAUUUAUGUUUUGUGCCCAUACUGUAAACGUAGGAUCUCAGGUGUCUGGAACGAUGGAGUAAGUAUUUCUGACUGUAGCUGUGGAAACGGAAGAGCAAGAAGUUCACUUCUGUUUCUCAUCUUCCACAGCUUCCUUGCAAUGCUUCUGCUACAUUAGCAGUGACAGGAUGCACAGAACAGAGAAGGCAUCAGAUGUACUUUCUUCCCAUGCAACUACGAUUCUUGCUCAGACUGGU